GGGGAAUUUUCCGCAAUGGGCGAAAGCCUGACGGAGCAAGACCGCGUGAGGGAGGAAGGCUCUUGGGUUGUAAACCUCUUUUCUCAGGGAAGAAGAAAGUGACGGUACCUGAGGAAUCAGCCUCGGCUAACUCCGUGCCAGCAGCCGCGGUAAUACGGAGGAGGCAAGCGUUAUCUGGAAAUAUUGAGUGUUAAGCAUCGGCAUGAGAUA
rnacentral:rRNA from 1 species